AACGAACGCUGGCGGCAUGCCUAACACAUGCAAGUCGAACGAGACCUUCGGGUCUAGUGGCGCACGGGUGCGUAACGCGUGGGAAUCUGCCCUUGGGUUCGGAAUAACAGUGAGAAAUUACUGCUAAUACCGGAUGAUGUCUUCGGACCAAAGAUUUAUCGCCCAGGGAUGAGCCCGCGUAGGAUUAGCUAGUUGGUGGGGUAAUGGCCUACCAAGGCGACGAUCCUUAGCUGGUCUGAGAGGAUGAUCAGCCACACUGGGACUGAGACACGGCCCAGACUCCUACGGGAGGCAGCAGUGGGGAAUAGUGGACAAUGGGCGCAAGCCUGAUCCAGCAAUGCCGCGUGAGUGAUGAAGGCCUUAGGGUUGUAAAGCUCUUUUACCCGGGAUGAUAAUGACAGUACCGGGAGAAUAAGCUCCGGCUAACUCCGUG
rnacentral:rRNA from 1 species